rnacentral:lncRNA from 1 species
AUAGGUACAUAAAAUGUAUUAUAAUCUUAUAACUAAGUUAUUAUAAUACAUUGUUGAUUUUGUGAUAGAAAUUUAGAGCUAAAAGAAACAUAAAUUAAAGUGCGAGGAAAUUAUUAAAGUAAAAAGUUUGCAGUUACACGCAUGUACAAAAACCAUUAAUGCACUCCGGAAGCACAGAAAUUUCACACAUAUAUUUUGGACAAUCAUCUUGAUGUAUGCACCUAUGAAUAUAUGCGUUGGUACUUACCACUGCAAAGUCAAAUAAUAAUAAUAGCAUAAUGAUAUUAAAAGAAUAUGUAACGUUGUGUCUAACAUAAGGAAGAAAAUGAUAAAAUUAUUUCAAGAAUUACUUACUGCCAUUGGUUACCAUGACAAAAAGAGAAAGAAACAUUAUCAAAGUAUAAACAAAUUUU